UCACGUCUCUUGGGCAUGGAUCCCUCUUUCAAUCUCUCUCUCUCUCUCCCAAACUCUCAUCUUGCUCUUCCUCUCCACAUGGAAACAGAUCCGAGUCUCUCUCAAAUUGCAACAAGGGAAGUUGAGGCAUGGAUCUCCUGCUAUGACGGAGCUCAUCUAGAUCAGGUUCGUGUUCUCACACUGAUUUGUUUUGAAUUUCUUUUUCCCAGUUUAGAUUCACUGAUUUGUUUUGAAUUUCUUUUUCCUAGUUUAGAUUCAAUUUUUUCCCAUCACGCCCUUUGAUAGUGCUAUCUAGGGAUUCAAUUUCCUUUAUCAUGUGGUUUCUUGAAGCAGAUGAUAACAGUGGCAAAAUAAAAUCAGUGUCCUCUAUCCCUCCAAAAACAAGAAAUAGAUCUUCCUAUAGCGUAUAGAAAAAAAUGUGAUGUCAAUCCUUCCUGUACAGGAGGAAUACUAUUUUCUGAAUUAUGGUAUUAAUUUUCGGAAAGUUUCUAGGCCAUGACGUUUUAUGGAUCCAAGGAGUAGAUGCACUGACUGUAGAUAUUAACUUUUGGUUCCUAAAUGUCUCCAGCCACAGUCAAGACCUUGAUUCACUAAUAAACUAACUAAUAAGAGUUUUGUGGUAUGUCGUUCUAUUUAUGCAUGCUAGGGACCAUGGUGCUAACUAUGUAGAUUGACACUAGAUUCAUUGAUUUAUUUUUCUCAUCCUUCAUUCAUAUUUGUAUACUUCAGACUACUGUAUAUUCUUUUCUUUUUUGUAGGUUUUUGGACAUGCAUGUGUGAACAUUGCUCCACAAUUAAUUACACUGUAAUACAUUAGCAGGUAAGGCGAAUCACUUCUUAAGAUUCCCCAUCAUGAGUAACUACAGAAACAGGUGCAUGACCAUGUCUGCUCACGAACAAGCGAAGCUAUGCUAUCUGAUGCUAAAUCUAGCAUAUUCGGCUAGAUCUGCUAGGGAUUUACUCGAAUAAUUAUCUAUUAUAUUUUAACUUCUUCUUCGCAAUUUGUAUUUGAUGAAUCAUGCUUUCUCAAAGUUUAACAUAAAUUUCGAUUUUGGACAUUUACUGAGAAACUGGAGCUAGGUGUUAUGAGCAUGAUUCUUCAAUGCAGAGAAUAAUUGGAGGACCAGUAAGAAAAUUUUCAUGAUUUUGCCAAGUGCGCCGCCAUGCUCCACCCACACUUGCAAGCCCUCCAAUUAGAUAGGCGUAUAACCACGAGUAUCAUCCAUUUACCCCAGGAUACGAGAGCUUUCUCUCAUGCAGUAUUGACUCGCAAUUUUCCAAGUGACAUCAUCUCUGUUUUGUUUUAUCUUAGAAGUUGGAAAUUUGAUAGCACCUAACCUCAUAGACAUGUGUUUGUUCACGUUUUUCUUAAAAUCAGACUAAUUGUAAGUCUACUUCUAUGGCUGAUGCAACUCAGCAUUAGUAUCUUCCAGAUCUCAUAUAUUCAUUGUCACUAGAUGAAUUCAGGUCUGAUGGGGUCUUCCCUUUGCACAUGUGUGCAUUUAGCUAAAUUGCCAUCUAAUUGUUGCCACUAAUCACAAAUGUAAGUGCAGUCUGAAAGUUGAAGGAUGACAUGUUCUCUAGGGUCGGCAAUAAUUAAAAAAUAUAGUGGUACCCAAGGUAAUACUUGAGAAUUGUUUGUGGAUGAUGUGAUUUCUACUUUCUUCUGAUGCCUUUUCCCUUUUUCAUCUGUACAGAUCUCAUGAUCUUUAGUGACCACAGUGUCAUGUAAACUACACAUACAGUUGUGGUACUUGAUUUGGAAACAUCAUAUAAAACAUACUACAACAAAAAGAAUCUUCUAUUUUCUAUCUUUCACAUAUUGAACGAUGCACUUCAAAAUUUUCAUUUCUGCUAUGCACACAUGUAGGCACUGGAGCAUAAUUCUAUCAUCUACCUAUGGAAGACGAUCCAACAUGGAUGCUCUAAAAAGUACCGGUAUGUAGCCUUUUAAUUUCUAUAACAUGCACUCACUGCUACCUGCUUUGCACUGGAUCUGAUGUGUUGAUAUGUACAUUUAACCAACUUAUUUGUUCAGAUUUUCCACAUAUUUCACUCAAGUAAAACAUAUGUAUAUGUUCAGUUUGUUUUCUUAAUGUCUUGACCAAUUCGUCAAUGAGGAUAAAUGCAUGUAGUUAUUUUACGCCUAUUAUCCUUUAAAAUUAUUAAAAGAACUUCCCCGAGAUAUGUAACCCUGAUGCUCCUGCUAUUUUCGGCCAUUAUAUUAUAGCCUAUGAAUUUAUUUCUUCUAACUUAAUAAAUUCACCGAGGAUUAUAAUAAGGUUGCCGAGUUGUUGGAUUUAUUAAGUCAAUUACAUGUACGUCAAAACUUAUGGUUUGAGGCUACGACCAUAGCUUUUCAAGACUAUUUGUUCCCUCUUUUGCUCCUGCAAUACACAUUGUCUCCUUAUGUUGGAUAACCAAUUCUCUUUGUGCUCAUUUUCUCUUUGUGAAGAUUUUUUUUUGCUACGACCAUAAGAUUUGUCUUGACUAAAGUGUAUAUUGAUGGAUAUAAACUUUUAAUGGUCCUCACAAUUCUAUCAAUCAAUAGACAUAUGAAGAAAAUCGGCCUAUAUAAUAUAUACACUUUGGCCCAUACAUGUUGCGAAGAGUAUUUUUUGAAGUAUAUUUACAUAGUCUUUCUAUUUCUAUACAUGGAAAAUAUAUAUUAUGACACAAUACGUGCUCACUACUAGAAUUCCCAAUUUUGCUGAGUGCCAAACGCACUGGGCAAACGCAAAAAGAAAAACUCGGCAAUGUGGCUCUCACGAUCAUCCUUCUAUGUCACGAUUGCAUUAGAAGCUCCAAUCUCGCCGAACUUAUUUCUCAGGUUUCUUUUGUUGCAAAGCCAAUAUUAGAUUAGAAUUAUUUUAUUUGUACACAGGAGUGAUAUUUAAUUGUAUUAACAGAAGUUUUGUUAAUUAACUGAAUAACGUAGCUGCAGUCUAACUCUGAUCCCAUCUUUUAGAUUUUCACCAACGUGACUCCCAUCUAUGGAUAUUUUCAUGUGUUGAUAGCAAUCGUUAUGUUAUUAUGUGCGUGUCUUGCAUCCGAGGCUAAGCUCCAAGGUCGCUUUUGCUACAAAGCUAGGUAUUUGAUUACAGUUUUUUAUCUCUAAAUAGGAGAGUAAUUUUGCUCUUUAACAGAGCAAAACACGAAUAUGUUGGACGCCUGCUGGCAAAGUUUAUUUUGCCGGGUUCUUUUCCACGGGCACUCAGUAGACACCUGCAAAGAAUAUUGUCGAUUGCAAAACACGGGGAACUCAACAAACAAAUGACACAGAUAGAAUGACAAGUUAACGGCCAUGCUACAUGGCACCAUAGUUUUGCCGUUUUCUGCACUCGGCAAAACUAUGCUCCCGUAGGGCUACCCAGAUGGCGCCAUGUGUAAUGCUUGCCGAGUACAACAUUAUGCAAAGGGGUCCUAGAUACUAGCGUUCUAGCCUAAAGAAGGUGAUUCUAAAUGUCCAUGUUGCUUGAUUGUUACCUUGAUGCUAAUAUUUGAUCUGUUUUCCAAAUUAAAAAUCCCCAUGCAGGAUGUUUAUAAAAUCUGCAUAUAACAUCACCUGCAUCGGAAAUUUCUGUAGCAUUUGAGGAUGAGAAAAUGGUGUAUAUGGUGUUGAAGGAAGCGUAGGAAGAAGCAUCUUGACAAAAGACAUGGCAAAGAUGAUGUCCAAGGGAAAAGCAGGGAAGUAAAACAUAAUUAGUUUAGAGUGGUUAAUGUGAAAGCAGUUUUAGUUUCAGCAAGAGGUGGAUUCUGAAGAUAACAACAGGUCAACAGCACAAGACUAUGAUAAGGCAUAACAUAGUUCUGAUGGGAAGGCAUAACAUAGUUGCUGGAAGAUAUAUUUGUACAAUAACAGGCACGCACAUGCAUGUGUAGUUAUACGGGAUUUAAAAAGAGUUAAUAUGAGAGAUUCAAUUCUGAUAGCUGAAAGAAAAUUACAGAACAAAUUUCUGUAAGGUAGCAGCCCAAUGAAUUGUACAAAUAUUGAUGCAUGCAGGUGAUGAUAUACACUAUCAUGUCAAACCCAGAAUCAAAUGUGUGUUGUGCAUUAAGUUUUCAGUUCUUCGUGACAUGUUUUGAUUAGUUCUGAAGCAUCCAGUUUAACAUCUUAUGUCUAAGACAUUUGGAGAAGGAUGAGAAAGAAUAUUUUGUCCUUAAUUCUAUGUUACAUCAUGGUAUCUAAGGUGAGCAAAUUUAUGGCCUCAAUUCUGGGUAACCCUCAAGGUACAUAAGGUCAAUCAUAUUAAUAGAUAUAGUUCUUUUGGCAAAAAAAUACUAUUGUCAAGACCCUUAAUAGUAUCUUUCAGACAUCCAUUCUUUGAAUAUUGAUGAAAUAUUAUAUACAACAAAAGGGUUUGCUGGAGUUGAUUUUAUUUGAGAUAUUCUAGCGCUGAUUUAAAUAUCAAUUUGAGCCUCUUAUUUGGAGAAUGCAAGGCUAGAGUACCACUUUGUUUGGGAUAGGAUAUGCUUGCUCCAUAACUUUAAUAAUUUGGAACUCAUGUUUAG
rnacentral:lncRNA from 1 species